CGCCCUCCAUUUGGGGGCCAGCCAAUAGGUGGAGGAGGAGAGAACUCUAGACCAAUCGGUGGAGGACCUAUGUGGCCAGGAUGGAAUAUGGGUGAAACUGGCAGCCCAAGAUGGCCCGACCAGGAUCAAAUGCCCCCUUGGUACCCAAACAGACCCUCUGGAGGCCCAGGAAGUGGGGACACUCAGCGACUAAUGGGAGGGCCUAACGGGGAGACCCCCCUAUCUGGCGGAUUGAACGGGGAGACACCCGAGUCUGGAGGACCCCCCGACUACCCUGAUCGGGGUUAUAAAAGGGGAGAGGAUGAAGGUCCAUGGUGGAACCAGGGAACCAUGAGAGGACACAGAGGAUCAUCAUCCCCUGCCGAUCUUCCACCUGUGACAG